UAUUCUCUUUCCUAUGUUGAUUUAAAUGUUGGUUUAAAACUCUUCUCUGGCAGCUCUCCCUAUCCUUUUUUUCAUUUGGAGCUCUGCUUGCCUAAGACAUGGUAUUCUGGGAAAUAGAGUCCUCAGAGGGUCACGUGAAUUUCUGUUGGAAGCAAGCCAGCAGGGACAAGAGGUUGAAAGAAAUACCUGCAGCUUCAGCAUCAAGCGUGUUAAAGAUGAGCCAGUCUUUUGUGUGCUGUACCGUGAAAGGGAUAGAAGACACAGCAUUGCCUUUGUGGUUUCCAACACGCAGAGUGAAGGGACCAUCUGAUAGAAGACAGCUGAGAAGUAAAGACUGGGAGAGGAGGAGCAAACAGCUGCUCUGUGUUUGAAGUUCAAGGGAUGCGCUUGUUAGCAUUGGAGAACACAAGGACGUGACUUGUCGGCCGGAUCUGUGGGGUGCCUGAGGAUAAAAGGCACUUGAAAGGGUGGUGGCUGAAGGCACUGGCCAGCUGGGUUGUUUUGAUGCUGGCCAAUUGCAGUAUGUUGCUGUAGCCAUCCAGAAGGGCAUGUGAGAGGGUAAUCCCUACUGCUCAGCUUUGUGCAAUUUACUAGUUUAAAUUAAGAAGCCAGUCUGCUAUGUGCAAAACCAUUGAAAGACCACAAAAAGACAACGAGGUGAUUCAAAGCAGAAACCUAAAUCAGAUCCUUUGAAUCUUGGUGGGAAAGAGAGUUUUUCUGUUCAGGCUAAGUAGAAGGGGCCUAGGAAAGUUUGAUAGCUAAUGAAGGCCCCCAGGUUUAGUACAUACAUUCAAAUGCCUCCACGGUUCUCUCUUAAUCAUGAGUGAUCUGACCUAAUUUUUAUUAUUCUGAAGAAUAUGGCAGUUUGGAUCUGGUGCUUAUGAGUAUUUUAAUCACUAUAUAAGAACACUACAGAAUGGGAAUGAAGUAAAUCAGAGGCAACAAAUUCUGUAAAUUUCGUUUUAUGCGAAACUCAUUCUUCAGCCUAGUUAAUUUACUAACUAGUCAUGUAAUGCCUGGAUGGCUGCUGUAAGGAUUUGGUAAAACCCUGUAAUGAAAAGGAUGGAGAGAAGGUGGCUGUGACUCAGGUUAUGUCAGAGAAAGAAAGACAAUGUGAGAGAAGCCUUGUGGUGUACUCUUAAAUACCCUUUGUAAGGUAAGGAUUUCAGACCUGAUAAUUUUACUGAAAAGCAAAUUAAUACUACCUGUUGAAAAGCCCAACUGCUUGAUGGAAAGUGAGAGUAAAGUGGAAAGUACAGGAGAUUAAAAGUAACUUAGGUUACGUUUAUCCACUGCAAUUUUUACAAUCAGUUAGCUGGUUUUUUUGCUCUGCUGGUGACUCAUUCCUCUGGAGUGGUUAGGCUGAAUGAAGCUUUGCUACUCUUGAAUGAAAUUCGUCAAAGCCAUUGACAAUAGUUGGAAGCGAGAGAGAUGUUUUGUUGGUGUUUUUUUUUUUUCACCAAAUGUUAAAAUAUUGAUUUUUAUCUGCAGUCGCUCAAUGUAUGUGGUUUGGAAGCUGUCUUCAUUUCUACAUUUUCUUUAGCCCCAUUCAAAGCAAGUUUGCCAAAAUAUGCAGAAACAUAAGAACAAGGAAGAGGUCGGAUGUAGGUUUUCCUUACAGCCACCUAAAUAAGAUAAAGUAUUGCCAUCACAUAUGAUACAGUUUUAAAAGGUUAAUACAGCAUGCACUAUGCUAAGUGCUGUGGUAGCAGUGCUUAUAAAAGCUUAGGUCAGCUAUUUCAAAACUUGAAUGUGGAGAGACUUCUGGCUCGUUGUGAUACGAUACCCUGGGUAUCCCAGCAUCCUUACGUUUUCAGUCAUCGCUUGGUAUGUGAUUGGAUGCAUACAAUGUUACGAAAAGCUGACUUUUUGUAGGGAUGGAGCCUCUUCACUGUACUGGUGGAUGGCCUUUUAAUGGCUGGACUUGGACAGGGUGAUGCCCUUUGCAGGGUGUGUGGUGCCCCAGCAGAAAGCAGCUGCUCUCUCUUUGCAGGGAAGCUGAGGCUCUAAGAGCUGCUGGAAACAGCUAUUGUUUUGCUGCCUGACACCCAUCUGCUCUGUAUAAAAACAAAAUAAACAAAAAAGGCACACACA
rnacentral:lncRNA from 1 species